rnacentral:rRNA from 1 species
UCGAGAAUCUUCGGCAAUGGGCGCAAGCCUGACCGAGCGACGCCGCGUGGAGGAUGAAGGCCUUCGGGUUGUAAACUCCUGUCGAGGGGGAAGAAGGGUCGAAAGGCCUUGACUGAUCCCUGGAGGAAGCACGGGCUAAGUUCGUGCCAGCAGCCGCGGUAAGACGAACCGUGCGAACGUUAUUCGGAAUCACUGGGCUUAAAGCGCGUGUAGGCGGGACGGCACGUCGGUCGCUGAAAUCCCCCGGCUUAACCGGGGAACUGGCGUCGAUACGACCGCCCUGGAGGGGCGUAGGGGGACCUGGAACUUCCGGUGGAGCGGUGAAAUGCGUUGAGAUCGGAAGGAACGCCCGUGGCGAAAGCGAGGUCCUGGACGCCUACUGACGCUGAGACGCGAAAGCCAGGGGAGCGAACG